rnacentral:lncRNA from 1 species
UCAUAUUAUUUAGCAACCAAAUCAAGUAAUAAUAUGCAUAAAUCCUAUAUAAUUGUAUUUUUUUUUUCUUCUUCCAAAAGAUAAUACUAAAAUACAAUUAAUUCCAAAUUUUCUACAACAAAAAUAACAUAAAAAAAAACCAAAAUUAAUUGUAGAAAAAUAAAAUGAAAAUCAAGAUCAAAAUGAUAUACAAAAGUACCAUUUUCAGAGAGAAAAGAUUGAGCCGUCCCCGCCAAUAUCACCACUGUCCACCGCCGCAAAUCACCACCGUCCACCGCCGUCAAUCCACCGGAAAAUCAAGAACUGAUGAAAACACUGCCGGAAAAAUCCAUUUCAAGCAGAAAAAAUCCAACUUUGAAAUCCACAAAGUAAAUACUUUCUGCAUUUGCAUUUCUGACAUCUUCUUGAAAUCUACAGAACCAAAAUCAACAAGAACCUUCAUUGCACACCAACUGUUUGAUAAUUUUCCACCAAAUUUUUUUCAGCACCAAAAUAAGUCCUACAAAAAAAAAAGAUGAGAUUUUUAAAGAAUCCCAUUUACAAAAAAAAUAAAAAGGUGUUUGAUUUUGUCUUUUUGGUGCAUUUUUUGGGGUGUCACAUGAACCAAGAAAGGUGAAAAACAUGGGGCUGAUAAAUGGGUGUGUAGGUACUAUCAUUACUGUGAUACGUUGCUCAGACUCUUCAAAAAUAUUAUUAGAAAAGUGUCUAAUCCUUCAAAAGUAGGGUGCGAUAACAUUUUUGAAAAGUUCGAACAAUUUAUAUAAUACUACUAUAUGUCAUAUUGUUUUAUUUUCUAACUAAUUCAGAUUCAUGUUGAUAAAAAGAUUAUAGCUUUAGCACUUCCUACUAAAUAAAAAGGUCAAUUAUGAGAGUUUUAGUACUCCUUACCAAAGAACAUCUCAUGAUUCGAACUCGAGACUUCUCCAUUACCAUUCCACUACACACCAUUACAUGAAACACUUAGUGGCUCCUACCCCCCAAAAAAAAAAAAGUUCCAUCUCAAGAUUCAAAUCCGAGACUUUACGUCAAGAAUGAAGAGAUCUUUACUUCAUUUCAAGAUUUGAACUCCAGACUUUUUAUCAAGAAUGAAGAGACCUUUACCCUUCCUCAACACCCUUUUAGUGAAACUUCUUUGUUUGUUUUGUUUUCUUCACAACCUUUAUGAUAAAAAGAGGAUGUUUGAUGAGCAAAGUUGUCCUAUCCUUAAAAUCAUGUGUUGGUAGUACUUACUACUAAGUCUAUGAGGGAAUUAGGUGUGAUAGGAAGAGAGAAAGAAGAGGGGAAAAAGAAGGUUAAGGAGACAAUUUAAGGACAUUGAAAGAGAAAUCCUUUGUGCCUUGUAAGUUUGUAUAUGUCUAUUCCCAACACAGUGUGACCAUCUGUCUUAUUAAACAAACAUAAUGAAGCCAAUAGUGUUAGCUUUGUGUUAUGUUAUUUGGGCAUGGGCUUGACAUUGAUUGACACUAAUAAAACCCCACACCUCUUUAGU